UCACGCCUCGUUAAUCCGAAACACGUUCUAUUGUUGGUUGUGAAGGAGAACAUCGCCGGAUUCCCACCCGCACGGCAGGUGGGUAUGUGGGAGUCGAACCUCACUAAAAACUCCUGCCGCUCACAGCCGGCGCCCUACCCCGGACCGGGCGGGAGCCCAGUCGGAGCUAUUGAGACGGCGGGGCAGGGUUUACGCAGAGCAUAUUACAUCCAUCCCGCCGAUUAUAUUGUGGUAGGUAGCUAUAAGCAUCUUUAAGCAUGUUUGUAGCUUUUAGCAUCGUGUAAUAAAAAUCAAAUACGCAAAAUUAUAA